rnacentral:lncRNA from 1 species
UGAAGGUGCAUUCAGUGGUUCUUGGGCAGCCUCCCCUGCAGAGGCCGAGGCUGCUCACACCAAACCUGAGAGAGCCCUUUACACUGAGAAACUACAGAGCUCUGGAAAGCUGGGGUCCUCAGGCAGAUGUGAUGGGGUCCAGAUGGGAAGGCUGAGGAGAAGCCAUGUCUGAGUUGAUAUUGCCCAGGACUGUUCCCAGAGAGUCCAAUGAAACAAGUGCAGAUGGAGGUGCCAUGAGAUCCAUAGGAAGGCUGUCAGGACUCCCCAGAAGGCAGGAAAUGUUGUGAAGGAUCAAAAACUCUGCCAAAGCUUAAGAACCUCCCAUCCCAGUGCAGUGCUGGGCAAACCUGAAAAGCCUCGUAGAGUGGAGUCAGGGUCCAGGUCUCUUGGGCGGGUGAUCAUGGAACGUUUCAAUGAGCAAGUCCAGGUGAGAGGGUCCCCAGCUGUCCAGAAC